GUGAUGACCCAACCCCGGCAUAGAGCUGUGAUGUGAUAUCUCGAGGGCUGA
rnacentral:snoRNA from 1 species